rnacentral:rRNA from 1 species
UGGGGAAUUUUGGACAAUGGGGGAAACCCUGAUCCAGCCAUCCCGCGUGUGCGAUGAAGGCCUUCGGGUUGUAAAGCACUUUUGGCAGGAAAGAAACGUCGCGGGUUAAUACCCCGCGAAACUGACGGUACCUGCAGAAUAAGCACCGGCUAACUACGUGCCAGCAGCCGCGGUAAUACGUAGGGUGCAAGCGUUAAUCGGAAUUACUGGGCGUAAAGCGUGCGCAGGCGGUUCGGAAAGAAAGAUGUGAAAUCCCAGAGCUUAACUUUGGAAACUGCAUUUUUAACUACCGGGCUAGAGUGUGUCAGAGGGAGGUGGAAUUCCGCGUGUAGCAGUGAAAUGCGUAGAUAUGCGGAGGAACACCGAUGGCGAAGGCAGCCUCCUGGGAUAACACUGACGCUCAUGCACGAAAGCGUGGGGAGCAAAACAGGAUUAGAUACCCUGGUAGUCCACGCCCUAAACGAUGUCAACUAGCUGUUGGGGGCCUUCGGGCCUUGGUAGCGCAGCUAACGCGUGAAGUUGACCGCCUGGGGAGUACGGUCGCAAGAUUAAAACUUAAAGGAAUUG